UACGAAGGGGGCUAGCGUUGUUCGGAAUUACUGGGCGUAAAGCGCGCGCAGGCGGCUAUCCAAGUCAGUGGUGAAAGCCCGGAGCUUAACUCCGGAACUGCCAUUGAAACUGUUUAGCUUGAGGACGAGAGAGGUGAGUGGAAUUCCCAGUGUAGAGGUGAAAUUCGUAGAUAUUGGGAAGAACACCGGUGGCGAAGGCGGCUCUCUGGGACGGUACUGACGCUGAGACGCGAAAGCGUGGGGAGCGAACAGG
rnacentral:rRNA from 1 species